GUAUUAGUGGCUCAACAACAAUCUCCACAGCUUCGAUCUUGUAAUUCGGUCAUGAGGGUUAGAAUCCCUUCUAGUACA
rnacentral:tRNA from 1 species